AUACAUACAACAUGAAUGGUUAUAAAAUUGCUCAUUAUGUAUAAAAUCAUAUCCUAAAUGUAUAAUAUGCAUCAGCCAAGAUUGACUUCUAGGGUAUACAUCUAUCAAGAGCAUGUAAAAAGAAAAAAUAUGCAUAGAGAAGAAAGAUAGCAAGGGAAAGGGGGGAGAGAGAGAGAGUUUAUGGUUGUGGAAGAGAUAAAGAUGGAAGGAGAGAGAGCGAUGGG
rnacentral:lncRNA from 1 species